rnacentral:ncRNA from 2 species
AUGAUGGUAAAGGGAGAGACUGGGCAUUUACGCCCAGCGCCGAAGGAGCAAGCAUUUUGCGAAUCUCUCAGGCAAAGAAGACUUUUACUUGACG